rnacentral:rRNA from 1 species
UACGUAGGGUGCGAGCGUUAAUCGGAAUUACUGGGCGUAAAGCGUGCGCAGGCGGUUUUGUAAGCCAGAUGUGAAAUCCCCGGGCUUAACCUGGGAACUGCAUUUGGGACUGCAAGGCUUGAGUGCGGCAGAGGAGACUGGAAUUCCUGGUGUAGCAGUGAAAUGCGUAGAUAUCAGGAGGAAUACCGAUGGCGAAGGCAGGUCUCUGGGCUGAUACUGACGCUGAGGAGCGAAAGCGUGGGGAGCGAACAGG